AGUGAACGCUGGCGGUAGGCCUAACACAUGCGAGUCGAACGGCAGCACAGUAAGAGCUUGCUCUUACGGGUGGCGAGUGGCGGACGGGUGAGGAAUACAUCGGAAUCUACUUUUUCGUGGGGGAUAACGUAGGGAAACUUACGCUAAUACCGCAUACGACCUACGGGUGAAAGCAGGGGAUCUUCGGACCUUGCGCGGUUGAAUGAGCCGAUGUCGGAUUAGCUAGUUGGCGGGGUAAAGGCCCACCAAGGCGACGAUCCGUAGCUGGUCUGAGAGGAUGAUCAGCCACACUGGAACUGAGACACGGUCCAGACUCCUACGGGAGGCAGCAGUGGGGAAUAUUGGACAAUGGGCGCAAGCCUGAUCCAGCCAUACCGCGUGGGUGAAGAAGGCCUUCGGGUUGUAAAGCCCUUUUGUUGGGAAAGAAAAGCAGCAGGUUAAUACCCCGCUGUUCUGACGGUACCCAAAGAAUAAGCACCGGCUAACUUCGUG
rnacentral:rRNA from 1 species